rnacentral:rRNA from 1 species
GGGGAUACCAUUUGGAAAACAGAUGCUAAUACCGGAUAAAAGCUACUUUCGCAUGAAAGAAGUUUAAAAGGCGGCGUAAAGCUGUCGCUAAAGGGAUGGGACCUGCGAUGCAUUAGCUAGUUGGUAAGGUAACGGCUUACCAAGGCGAUGAUGCAUAGCCGAGUUGAGAGACUGAUCGGGCCACAUUGGGGACUGAGACACGGGCCCAAAAACUCCUACGGGGAGGCAGCAGUAGGGAAUCUUCCACAAUGGACGAAAGUCUGAUGGAGCAACGCCGCGUGAGUGAAGAAGGUUUUCGGAUCGUAAAAGCUCUGUUGUUGGUGAAGAAGGAUAGAGGUAGUAACUGGCCUUUAUUUGACGGUAAUCAACCAGAAAGUCACGGCUAACUACGUGCCAGCAGCCGCGGUAAU